AACGAACGCUGGCGGCAGGCCUAACACAUGCAAGCCGAGCGAGGACUUCGGUCCUAGCGGCGGACGGGUGAGUAACGCGUGGGAACGUGCCCUUUGCUACGGAAUAGCCCUGGGAAACUGGGAGUAAUACCGUAUGUGCCCUUCGGGGGAAAGAUUUAUCGGCAAAGGAUCGGCCCGCGUUGGAUUAGGUAGUUGGUGGGGUAAUGGCCUACCAAGCCGACGAUCCAUAGCUGGUUUGAGAGGAUGAUCAGCCACACUGGGACUGAGACACGGCCCAGACUCCUACGGGAGGCAGCAGUGGGGAAUCUUAGACAAUGGGCGCAAGCCUGAUCUAGCCAUGCCGCGUGAGCGAUGAAGGCCUUAGGGUUGUAAAGCUCUUUCAGUGGGGAAGAUAAUGACGGUACCCACAGAAGAAGCCCCGGCUAACUCCGUGCCAGCAGCCGCCGUAAUAC
rnacentral:rRNA from 1 species